rnacentral:rRNA from 1 species
GAUGAACGCUAGCGGCAGGCCUAACACAUGCAAGUCGAGGGGUAACUAGAGUGAUAGCAAUAUUACUUUGGCUAGACCGGCGCACGGGUGCGUAACACGUAUGCAACCUACCUUAUACUGGGGAAUAACUUCGAGAAAUCGGCGCUAAUACCCCAUAACACUGCGGAGAGGCAUCUCUUUGCAGUUAAAGCUCCGGCGGUAUAAGAUGGACAUGCGUCCAAUUAGCUAGUUGGUGAGGUAACGGCUCACCAAGGCUACGAUGGGUAGGGGUUUUGAGAGGAUGAUCCCCCACGCAGGUACUGAGACACGGACCAGACUCCUACGGGAGGCAGCAGUGAGGAAUAUUGCGCAAUGGACGAAAGUCUGACGCAGCCAUGCCGCGUGCAGGAUGACGGCCCUAUGGGUUGUAAACUGCUCUUGUACGGGAAUAAACCCUUCUACGUGUAGGAGGCUGAAGGUACCGUAAGAAUAAGCACCGGCUAACUCCGUGCCAGCCGCCGCCGUAA